GUAACUGUCUGGCAACCGAGGUUGACCUGAGUCCAUGGUUGUUUUCAGGCAUCAAGAUUGUCCGGAGCCGGGCUGGUGAGAUGGCUCAGUGGGUAAGAGCACCCGACUGCUCUUCCGAAGGUCCGGAGUUCAAAUCCCAGCAACCACAUGGUGACUCACAACCAUCCAUAAUGAGAUCUGACAACCUCUUCUGGAGUGUCCGAAGACAGCUACAGUGUACUUUACAUAUAAUAAAUAAAUAAAUCUUAAAAAAAAAAAAAAAAAAGAUUGUCCGGAGCCUCCAGGAAAUAGUCUCUGUAAGCUGCUGGGUCAGCAUGGUUCCCUGAUGUAGGUGUCCGUUUACCCCUGCCUGCCAUGUUGGCAACGGACUUGGAACCAUAAACCUGGGGCAAAGUUUACAGACCCGUUCUUGCCAGCAGUAAACAGGGUCGCUUAUCGCUGACUGGGACUGCUGAGCAAAGACAGGGUCUAUGACUUGACGGUGGCGCUGAUUUCCAUACACCAGGGAUCUUCCUGCCUCCACCUCCCCAGUGCUGGGAUUGCAGACAUGUGACAUUAUGACUGGCCUUUAUAUGGAUGCUGAGGAUCCAUACUCAAGCCAUGGUACACUUCACGGCACACAUUACCAACUGUGUCAUCUCUUCAGCCCAAUGAAUAACGUCUUUCAGAACCAUCAGUAUCCAACUCCUUUGGAAACAGAGCUAAACAUCUGAAAUGGAAGCCGUGUGGCUACUGAGGAUGGAUGCUGGUGAGGUUGUACAGUUUCUCAUAUACAUACUGAGAAUGAAAAGAGACACCAGUGUCCACCAUGCCUGCUCCUUGCUUAUCCAGCUAUACUAAAUGUAUUAGUAAUUAUGUGAGGGUCGGUUUCUUGUUUUUGAGACAAGGUCUCCAAUCUGCCCUUGAACUCCUGAUCUUCCUGCCUCUGCUUCUCAAGUGCUGGGGUUA
rnacentral:lncRNA from 1 species